rnacentral:siRNA from 1 species
CUAGAAGCGACGCAUGCGCCC